rnacentral:rRNA from 1 species
UAUAAAGUCUAACCUGCCCACUGAUAAUUAUUAAAGGGCCGCGGUAUUUUGACUGUGCAAAGGUAGCAUAAUCAUUUGUCUCUUAAUUGGAGGCUGGAAUGAAUGGUUGAAUGAAAUAUUAACUGUCUCAUUUUUAAAAUUUUAAAAACUUAGCUUUUAAGUCAAAAGGCUUAAAUGAAUUUAGAGGACGAGAAGACCCUAUAGAUCUUUAUAAUUUAUUUAAUUUUAUAAAAUAGAAAAAUAAUUAAUAAAAUUAAUAUGAUUAUUUUAUUGGGGUGAUAGGAAAAUUUAAUAAACUUUUUUUAUUAAUUAACAUUGAUUUAUGAUUAAUUGAUCCAUUUUUAGUGAUUAUAAGAUUAAGUUACCUUAGGGAUAACAGCGUAAUUUUUUUAGAGAGUUCUUAUCGAUAAAAAAGAUUGCGACCUCGAUGUUGAAUUAAAGGUUAUUUCUAGAUGUAGCAGUUUAGAGUUUAGG